rnacentral:rRNA from 1 species
CAGCCGCCGCGGGAAUACGUAGGGUGCAAGCGUUAAUCGGAAUUACUGGGCGUAAAGCGUGCGCAGGCGGUUAUAUAAGACAGAUGUGAAAUCCCCGGGCUCAACCUGGGAACUGCAUUUGUGACUGUAUAGCUAGAGUACGGCAGAGGGGGAUGGAAUUCCGCGUGUAGCAGUGAAAUGCGUAGAUAUGCGGAGGAACACCGAUGGCGAAGGCAAUCCCCUGGGCCUGUACUGACGCUCAUGCACGAAAGCGUGGGGAGCAAACAGGAUUAGAUACCCGCGUAGUCCCUGUCUUUUAUAA